GACAUGCAUUGUCUCAUGACCAGAACGCUACCAUUGUUCACAUGUUAGAUUUGUUCCUAUCUGUGUGUUUAUAUUGUUUUCUUUGUGUACCUAGCCCCACAGGUGUGCAAUAAACCCAGAGAAACCACAGAAACGGUGUUGAACCCAGCACCUUCAAUGUCUGGUGACACUGUCCCUACAGAUCCUCAGGAAGGAGUUGACAACAAGAAAGCCAAUAGAAGGUCAACAGAUGCAACGUUUCCUCACCUGUGUGGACCACCGUGCGAAGCUCUGACAAAGCCUGAGAACAUUUUGGCCAGCCGUUCAUCGUGGUGUUUGUACCGCACCCUGGCCAACAACAGCUUCUCAACUAUGUUCUGGACAUCAGCAGACCCAAAGAUGAGCUGAUUGUUGAAACGUCUUCUGGAUGCCUCACGCGGGCAGAUUUUUGGACACUGGGUUUAAACAAAGAAAUGGAAUCGACUUUAAGUAUUUUGUUUCUAUGAAUAUGAAAUAAUAAAGUGUACUUUCAUUUUUUUAAUGAUUUUUUCUGUUUCAGAUUGCAAAUGGCUGUUUUGAGCUUAUCACUAAAAUUGUUCAGUCAAAGGUACUGUAUGUUGUAUAGGAUGAUUGUCCAGCUUUAAUUUAAAGAGUUGUUGUUUUAAAUGUGCUGUUUUUACAUUCUAGGGGAUAAGCAUUUACAUAGGAAAUCUGUAUGUCACCCGGACUUGGCUUGCACCCUAUGGCUGUGAUCCAUUGCAGUCCUUUCCUACUGAUGCUCAGAGGAUGGACAUCAUAGUUCUCCCUCUCUGGACACCUGCUCAUUUCCAGUUGUGUGAAUCUUGCAGUGAAGCUCAUUCCUGGGCAGUGGUCAGAAAAAAAGAGCUUUGACUUGA